AGGCAUGCGGUUUAUUGUUCGAAUUAAUUAAUGGAUUAUUAAUAAGAAAUGUAGAUAAUGUAUGCUGCAAAACUUUGAAAAUCCUGAAACACACCCUAAGGGUUAUGGAAUUUACAUCUUUCACAGCUUCUAUUAUUUCUUCACUAGUUUGCAGCUAUGCCCACACCUGGAAGGUGACAAAAGGUGGAGUUUACUUUCUCGCCCGUGUCAGCAGUCAUACUGUGGAAUCCAUGAAAAUUGGAUUUCCUUUUUCUGGUGCGUUUUACUCUUGAACUGUGUAACUGUGGAUAACUUUAAUACUGCCCAUUCUUUGUUUACAGUUAUAUAAUUUCUAUGAGCCUUAAAAGUAACCGACAUAUUUCUUUCUUAAGGUUUCAGUAUAAAACAUAAUCUGCAUCUUCAUUAUGAAACUCAUAUGCAAUUUUCUUCUAUCUCUAGAAGUUUAGAUUGAGGUUUAAAAGAACCAUUUUCAUUAUCAAGCUUCCCCAUAGUUUCCCACUUUCCUAUUCCAAAUAUUUUAAAAAAUCACACCAAAUAUCAGAGCUUUUAGCAAUAUAAAGAAAGAUUUACUUUCAAAAGUAGCAAAACUUGUUUGAAAAAAAUAUAUAUCUUUAAGUGAAUUACUUUAUAAAUGUGACUGUCAAAGUCAGCUAUCCUAUGAUCUACAUUUUACAACAUAUUGUACAAAAGAUACAUUGAUAGGCUCUUAUCUAUUUAUAUAUUUAUAAUUACAUAUUGCACUUGGACCAGCAAGGCUUGCAGAGUCAUUCACGGUAGAAGUUAAUAAAGUUAAAUAGAUGGGAAUCUUUGUAAGUACAAUUGAUCUCCUCUGGUUUGGAAACAAAUCUCCUCGUCGUUGUAAAGUGUUCUCGCGGGGUGGGACAGAGAGAGGAGCAUUGCGAGGGGGAAGCAGAGACAGAGAGCACGGAGGGCAGGGGUCGCCUUCCCGGGGCCCGCUCCCCCCGGGAGCGCGCCUUUCCCAGACUCGCACCUCCAAGGUCAGGACGCGGUGGUUCCACAUAAGCGGCUCGCGGUCACCACUUCUUUCAGGUCACUCUCGGGUUUCCCGGCCACCAUAAAGGGCCACGUCUGCGGGAAAGAAGAGGGUGGAGGAGAAUUGUGAGAAGGAACCUCGAGGACUUCUGCAGCAGAGGAACCGGCUCUCUGUUUCCCCACUCCCAGAGUCGUGGCCGUAGAGGAGUAAAACACGAAUUAAAAUACAGGGAGUAUCAACCGCAUCCUGCCAACACCUCAUAAGACUCCAAGGCUUUACCGAGAUCUCCUUCCACCUUCCCCGGGAUAAAUGAAGACAAGUGCUUCCUAGAAUCUUUAUGGUGAUGGAAAAGUGGAGAUUUAAAUGACCACAUCCACCCUAAGAUUUAUUGUGAGAAUGAUUGAUGUUAUAAACCAGGAAAAAGACUCUUCCCACAGCAGGGAUGACAGAAAUAUCAAGUUGAAGUUGCCUUUGUCUUCACAUACAAAUGACCCAGUACUAUAACACAGAAAGUAUAAUAAUUUAAUCUGAGGUUCAAGACAGCAGUAAGAGAACACCCAGCAGGCCUGUUAAAAAUUUCUUCACUAAUUCCCCAACUAGUUUCCUUUGAUUUGCUCUCCCUUUUCUCAGUCUUGGUAAAACAUGAAAGUUAAAGUUAUUUUUAGACUAAAGAGCUAUGUGAAAAUAGGCAUUGGCCAAUACUUUGUGAAAUGUGUGUGUGUGUGUGUGUGUGUGUGUGUGUAGCUACUAAGAUAUCUGCAAAAUAACUACAAAUAAUUAAUUUGGGCUCUGGAAUGUGAUAAUUAUUAUAAAUCCAAACUAUGGCCUUAAUACCAGGCUAUUAAGCUGUGAUUUUUCUUGUUGGAGCCAUUUUUUUUUCUUUUUGGCUCUGGCUUUCUGUUACACCUUAGUUAAUGGACUGCUCAGGCUGUCUGGGGAGAUAGUAACAAUCAUAGUAAUAUGUACCACUGAAAAGAUUUCUGUUAUCUGUAUAUUUUUCAAUGUUGGAAACUUAAAAGUACCAAUUUCUGGAAGCAUGUAAAACUAGCCUCAUGUCAUAGGCUGGUUUUUAUGCUUAGCAAUUACUUUUCUUCAUAGCCAUAUAAGAAAUAAUUAAGUCCCAUGUCCAUUUAUCUUGCAGUGAGGCAUUUAGGCUGAGAAAGGCUAGUGGGCUGAUAAUAAAUUUUGGAGUGUUUCUAAAAUUCUGUAAAAGAUGGCUUCCAGUUUGGGAGUAAGAGUUGAAGAAUGCUGUUGCUUAUGUAUCUUGAUAUGAAGUCUUGAAGAAAGAAUAUUCAUAUGAAAAAUACUUUUUUCUUUUAAAAUUUUGUGUCUAUCCCUGCUAAUAAACACUUAGGGACAAAUGGGUGGGGGAAAUGACUUCUUGUUGGAUUCUACUGAGCAAAUCAGUUAAGCUGUAACUUAAGCUGUGCCAAAUUCUCCCAAAAUAUAAACUAUAUUCUGUGAGAAGAGAAGCACUUUUGAGAAGCUGUAUUAACCCUUUUGGUACGUUGACCCUUCUGUUCCAAAGCACGAAAUAGAAAACUAGUGAUUUGAAAGUAUGAGAUCAUUUCUAAAAGUUCUUACCUGACUUUUAAGAAACAGUUAUGCCCCAGAGGCAUCUGGCCAAUUUGCUGCUCACUUCUAACAAUUUGUUUUGCAAGAGAGACUAUCUUUGAAAGAUUUUAGUGCUAAGGAAAUUUUAUCUCCGAAAGCUGUAAAAUGAAGAUUAGGCAUGGAAUGUACCCUUGAACUUAAAUCCUGGUUUAUCAGCUGAUACAUUUACAGGAAGUUCAAAUUUGAUUCAGUUGCACUUGGAUGGAAUAAUUUGCUUCCUUUUUUAUGAGAAGGAAAACAUCAUAGGCUUCCUUUGAACUGACUUCAUAUGCCAUUACAUAAUCUUUCUCAGGGGAAAAAUAUGCCUUUAAAUGUAAAUGUUAAUUCUUUUCUCUUACUCCUCAUAAUUUGGUCAGGAGACACAGGCUGGCAAAUCGGCAAAACUGCCCAUUCUCUUUUUUCUUCAUUUCUAAUUAGCACCUCCAGAUGUUUUAUUCAUUUUAUUUGAUGGUAACUACCACCACUUCAAAUAUUUGCCAACUUUCUAUGCAACUUGAUGCCUUUUUUUUUUCUUUUUUGUUGGAGUCUUGCUCUGUCACCCAAGCUGGAGUGCAUCAGCAUGAUCUAGGCUCACUGCAACCUCCGCCUCCCAAGUUUAAGAGAUUCUCAUGCCUCAGCCUCUCGAGUAGCUAGAAUUACAGGUGCCUGCCACCAUGCCUAUCUAAUUUUUGUAUUUUUAGUAGAGGUGGGAUUUCGCCAUUUUGGCCAGGCUGGUUUCAAACUCCUGAUCUACCCACCUCGGCCUCCCAAAGUGCUGGGAUUACAGGCAUGAGCCACCGUGCCCAGCCAGGUGCCUCUUUUUUGAUUUUACAUAAUUAUCUCCAUACCCUUUGUUUGCUGCUGAUUGAUUGUUGUCUAUCUCCCACUUAUAUGCCUAUCAAAAUCUGACUUUGUUUCAUUAAAUUUUAACUUUAUUUCAUAAAGUGAGCAUUACCUCUCUUUGCUCCUUCUAAAUUAUAGUGGUGCUGGCCUGUUAUAUUUUGGCAGCCAAAGUGAAUAUGGCACUAGUGAGCUUGGUGGCUAGCUAAGAAGGUCAAUAACAGUGAUGCUGGGUGUUGCUGCUACCUUUACUUGGCACCAGCUGGGAGACGGUAUAAAUCCUGGAUGGUAUAAAUCCAUUCAGUAAUCAGAAGUCUUCCGCGUGUUCACUAUACCCUAACCCCCUCUUUUCACAUUUAAUUCAGUGAAUUGUAGAUAAGAUGCCACAUUGCUAAGAUUUAAAGCUGGCAAAUAACAACAAUAAAGUUUAGGGAAAGAUUCUGCAUGGUUCUUUGAAUCCAGGAGUUAAUCUUGCAUUUCACGUGUUCCACAAUACAGCUUUGAAAGCAGCCAAGCCUAUGCACUUGAAAGUCAGGGUUUACCCUAAGGUGUAAGUGGGCCAGAGAAAACUCGGGCAGACAAAGAGAGUUAAACAUUUUGCAAAGCCAGUUUAGUGUCUUCCUAAGUUUUCUAAUACUAGAAUAAUUGUAUUAGACCCUGUCAGUGUUAGGAAAGAGAGAGAAAAGGACUGAGCGACUCCUGAGUCAGGUACCAUGCAGGGACCUUUGCCUCCAUUCUCUCAUUUCAUGUAUUUUCUCUCCUUUCUGUUGGCACUACUAAAGAAAGAGCUGCCACAUGAAAUGAAUAGUGUAUUAGAAAUGUAUGCCAGAGGCUUUCCCCUGUAAUAAAGUUUUAGAAAAACUG
rnacentral:antisense_RNA from 1 species